GGCUCCACCCAGUUGGAGCUUCCCGGCUGCUUUGUUUACCUAAGCAAGCCUGGGCAAUGGCGGGCGCCCCUCCCCCAGCCUCGCUGCCGCCUUGCAGUUUGAUCUCAGACUGCUGUGCUAGCAAUCAGCGAGACUCCGUGGGCGUAGGACCCUCCGAGCCAGGUGUGGGAUAUAGUCUCGUGGUGGGCCGUUUUUUAAGGCCGUCGGAAAAGCGCAGUAUUCAGGUGGGAGUGACCCGAUUUUCCAGGUGCCGUCUGUUACUCCUUUCUUUGACUAGGAAAGGGAACUCCCUGACCCCUUGCGCUUCCCGAGUGAGGCAAUGCCUCGCCCUGCUUUGGCUCGCGCACAGUGCGCGUGCACCCACUGACCUGUGUCCACUGUCUGGCACUCCCUAGUGAGAUGAACCCGGUACCUCAGAUGGAAAUGCAGAAAUCACCCGUCUUCUGCAUCGCUCACGCUGGGAGCUGUAGACUGGAGCUGUUCCUAUUCGGCCAUCUUGGCUCCUCCCAGAGGAAAGUACUUUCAAGCUUGCCUGAGGUCUGAGAAGCUGAGCUUUCUGCAGUGGUCUCAGUGGAACCUUUGACCAGAGCAUUCGAAGGGUGCCUUUCCUGUUUCCUUUCUCGGCAUUGAAACAUCAAGAUACGGAAUCCAGAAGGGUCACCAGAACCUGGCCCUCUGCAAUCUGGACUCGAGGCUGCAGACUUGCUGUUGAACUGGGCUGGGCAGGAGGGCAGAGUGGGCACCAGGGCCCACCUUCCUGGGGCCCUGAAAGGGUGGGAUGGUGUGUACUGGUCCCCUCACCCAAAUGCAGGUGUGGGAGGAGGACAUCCAUCAUGAUGCUACAUGGCAUUUGCUUCACCACCAGGAGAGAGGUGAGUGAGAGCUGGGCCCGGAGUCGUGCGCCUCGCAGAGAUCAGAGUGGGCCGACGGUGUCGGAGGAGACUACAGCCCAGGUCGUGCCUCACUAGGAGGCUUCCUCCAGGUGGAGGUGCUGCUGCCUUCUACCACUCCUGGGGCACACUUGAGGCCCCACUUCCCGGACCUCCUCCCGGGGUCUCAGUGCUAGACUCAGCCUGGGAGACAGGCUGAAGUUCUCAGGCAAAUUUUACUCUACCAAGGCCACCCUUUUGUAGGUAACCACCAGGAGCAUGGACAUCUCUGGGCUCAGGCUGGGCAUCAGGCGUCCUGACAGUUCCUUUGGUGAUCCUGGGGUGCAGCCGGGGUAGGGAACCCAGUGUCUGGCAGAGUGACCAAUACUGGCUGUGUCGUGGGAGCGCCCCUGGCCCACCCUCCCUGCUUGCUCAAGGGUAGUGGCUGCCAGGCUAGGCCUGUGCUCCCACCACCGCUUCCGUCCCCCAGCUCCCCUGAGUCGCAUUCCAAGAUCCCCAACAUUCCCCUGCUCUGUUCCUAUCGUCCCCAGAAAUGUCGAGGUCACUGCUUCAGCUCUGCACCCUGCAGUGUGCUGUGUCCCCAGCUUUCAUUUUAGCUUGUCCCCAAGGCUACCAAGUCCCAGGCCAGCGAUCUUCUCUCUCCCUGGCUUUGCUGGGACACGGUUUCCCAUUAAUGAAGGGUGAGGUGGUUCUUUUCUGAAAAUCUGGACCCUUCAGGAUUUUCAGUCUGGGCCCUCCCCAGGGGUGUCUCAAGAGGCUCACAGAGGAGGGGUGUAUGCUAGGUAGGUGCCCGUGCCAGGACCACUCUGGAAGAUUCCUGAGGUUGUUGCUGUGAUCUGCCAGCAGAGGGCGCUGUAUCCCAGCGCAGAUGAAGUGGGUAAGAGGGUGGUUUCUUCCCAGUAGGUGGGUGGAGAAGCAGGGCUGUUCUGACUUUUUGAAUUCCUUUGCUGCAAAAAAAAUCCUCUUCCCGUGGUGGAGAGGUCAGCAGCUCAUAAAUGGCAUGAGCAAGAGAUUCCUUUUCUAUGCUCACCUCACAAACCCUUUUCUGUAGUUAUUUCAAAUACACUUGCCCCCAAUUUAUAUAGCAGAUGUGUUCUUCGGAAGUUGCCCACAUGCUAGAUCGUGUCUCAAGUGCACUCAAGAAACCUCCCUCAUUCAAAACAGAAACUGAUGUUAUCUCUUGUAAAGCAAACUUUAGAUUUCUAAUUCAAAUAACAAUUCAUCCACUCUAAGGCAUCACAUUCUUGUAAGAAGAGUUUGAUAAAGGGGGUUCAGCUGUAUAAUUUACUUUUGAGGAAGCCUCAACCCCCCUGCUCACCAGGUUGCAGACUUCUAAGGCUGCAUAGCCUCUUGGUGUCACUACAGAGCUGCCCCCAGGGCAUGGCUUUCCAUGGGCCCUGUGAUUGGACGGUGGCCUCUGGAUAAGGGACUGUCCCUGGGUGGGGACACCUGAAAGUCCCAUCCUCAUCUAGCGUCUAUUUGCUGCAAGCAAGGAAGGGAACCCUGGCCCGUGUGCACCUCCUACUCAUGGGCCCUGGGCGCUUGCGUUAGCUCAUCAAUCCCCAUGAGAAAGGCAGCUGAGUUGUGCGGUUUUACUGAUGAGGAAUCCAAAGCAGGGUGAGGUCUAAGAACACAUGCCACUUUGAUUCCAGGCCCAAUUUUGCCUUCAGGCUUCUUUCUCCCAGCCUGUGUCACUUUUUCUCCUAUUCUAACGAGUUCAUUUUCUUGCUGAUAGCCAAGCGAUCAACCCUUUUCUCAGGCCAAUGGGAAGGAAAUCAAAAUGACAUUUACAUUAGUUCAAAUAUUGGUCAGUAGUCUGGAAGCAGGCAUGAAAGUGCCUGGCUGGAAACCCACUUUCAUGGAACAAAGUGAAAUCUAAAACUCUGCUUACUGGAAUUAAAGUCUUUUUAAAAUCUAGAAUUGUGGUGACCUUGCUCCCUAUUAUUAUCUGUAAACAAGAUAUAAUACAAAUACAUUUAUUUAUCAUUAUUUAUAUCAUUUAUAUCCCUUGCUCAUGCUUACUGUGUGCUCAUUUAUUGAGUACCCUGUCCUUGGUACCCCAGUGCACAAACCCAGAUACUUGAAGAUAUUUUAUUAUUUCCAUUUCACAGUUGAGAAAAUGGAAGCAGAGAAGUUAAGUGACCUGCCCAAAGUCAUACAGCUAGAAAGGAGCAAAGCUGGGAAUUCAAUCCAGACUUUGUGGCUCUAACACUGGCACUCUUAACUUUUACUCAGGGUCUCCAGCCAUCCCCCUGCUUAGGUGUAGUGACAGGCACUCAUUCUACUUCUGAUGCAGAAACCUCUUGUGCUUGGUUAUUUCUCAUAUUUCAAGAAAGAAGAAUGCAUGGAUCUCUAAGAGAAUUUAAAGGUUGUGUUCAGCCAGUUGAAAGAUGUAUAAUAGUCUCAUUUCAUUAUGACCCGGUGGGAUACAUAAGAUAAUGAAUUGGGGCGUAGAAAGAAAAUAUUGAACCUAUUUAUGUUUGUUUCAUUUUUGUCCAACAUUUCUAUUUUUGCACUUAUUUUAUAAUGUACAUAUUUGUUUGGUAGUCCAUGCAUGUCAUUUAUAAAGAAAUCCACAAACUCUGGGGAGGUGAAUGCUCAAGCAUUUUCUUUGUAUGCCAGUGAUGAGAUGUUGACUAUUGCUUGCUUUAUGUUUUAUGUAUAUUUUUAUAAGAGUGUAGAAACCACUUUUGAAGAAUCCAUCUUGUUUUGAAAACAUAGUAAGCCAUACGGUUUAAAGGAAUCAAGUAGUUCAUCUUCUUUUGCAAAGUCAAUUAUAGAUUCCAGAUAUUUGUUUCGUAUGUUUGGGUUUCCAUAUAUUGUACUGGUUUGGCUAAGAAGGGCACACUUGCACUUUCCACAUAGGUUCAGUGCAGUCCACACACAUUUAUUG
rnacentral:lncRNA from 10 species